rnacentral:lncRNA from 1 species
AAAUAGAUUUUAUAUAAGUCAAAUUGAUAAACUAUAUACAUAUGCGUGUCUCUAAACUGUGACGGAAAAGGAGCAAGAAUUCAGGGUGGGCAUUCGGUAGAAGCCUAAAGUUUGGUCUAUACUGUUCGGUUUAUUUUUUACUUCGCUUACCAAAACCAAAAACCGAAAGUAACAGUCAAAAGCAACUAACGGCAAUUCGGUUAACCGACCAAUUCGGUUCGGUUUUCAGUUUAAACCGACUGACUACAGCGUUGCUGAGAAG